GUGUGACGUCUCUCACCCCGUGCAAGACAGUAAGAUCUACUCGUGCCAUUGGUUGGGGGAGGAUCACAUGGUCGCCGGAGGGUGUCAGGCCAACACGCUUUACGUCAUCAGUCGCCACAGCCUCCAGACAGUGGGACAGCUGUGUGGUCUGGACUCUCCCGUCUACUCCACCUCUGUGUGUGCGAGUGGGAAGCGGUCGGGUCUAAUCGCUGGAUCAUCAGGGUCGUCCGUUUACAUUCUAGAUCACCGCAAUUAGAAGGGUUUCCAUGGCAACAUGCAGGUGUUUUUCUACGAGAAAUAAAAAAACUCUGAUCUCUGAAGUGCACUAACAUUUUUAAUUUGGGCUUUGCAUUACAUACCCAACGUUGAGACUAACACUGACACAUGCUCUCACUUAAGCAUAGGUAAAGACACAAACACAUGCACACACACACACACACACACACCCACACAGAGUAAAUAAAGUGAAUCUGGGGUUAUGUGUACUUCAAUUUGAUUGGUGCCCGGUUGGCACCAGGCCGAACACAAAGUCCAGGCCCAGUCAACAGCCAGUCUGUAUGUUGCCACUUUAAUGAGAAUAUGACUUUAUAUAAUGUCAUAUAAAGAUAAAAUGUAUAACAUUAUACAACAUCGUUACCCUGGGUUUCUUCUGAAGUUGUAAUGUUUAGCAAAGUCAUGUUGUUGUAUAUAGUUCAAAUUGUAAUGUUCCAUAUAGUUAAAAGUGUAAUGUUUAACAGAGUCAUAAUGUUGAAUAAAGUUGUAAAGUUUAAUAAAGUUAAAGAUGUUAUGUUCAAACAAUGUCAUAAUGUUUUAUAAAGUGAAAGAUGGACUUUUUUAAAUAAAGUUAAUGUUGAACAAAGCCAUAACGUUGGAUCAAGCUAUACGAAUGUGCCCCAUGUAAUGUAUCCCAGCUGUGUCCGUUUUGUUGGCUUUUCCUUGUGGAAUGUGCUCA